UCAUCAGCUUGCGUUGAUUACGUCCCUGCCCUUUGUACACACCGCCCGUCGCUCCUACCGAUUGAGUGAUCCGGUGAGCUGUCCGGACUGCGAUUAGUUCAGUUUCUGUUCUCUUCGCGGGAAGUUCUGCAAACCUUAUCACUUAGAGGAAGGAGAAGUCGUAACAAGGUUUCCGUAGGUGAACCUGCGGAAGGAUCAUUC
rnacentral:ncRNA from 1 species